rnacentral:lncRNA from 1 species
CUAGUCCUUCUAAGAAGAAGGAAACUCCCAACUCCAAGUCUAAAAGCACUUCUGCUAAGACUAAAAAGGAGAAGAGUCCAGUCACCCCUGAACAAGCACAUGUUAAACCAGUUUCUGUUGAUAAUCCUGUUUCUACUAAACCACCUGGACCCAAGAACAUCUGGGUACCAAAGAAAGUUUAAUCCAUUUGUGAAUGCAGGGCACAGGAAAGAAAAGAAAAGUUGUGUGGGUUCUUGAUAGUGGUUGUUCAAGACACAUGACUGGUGAAAAGUCCCUGCUCACAGAUGUGGUGAUGAGAACCGGCCCAAUUGUAAUCUUUGGAGAUGACAGCAAAGGUUUUACAACGGGAUAUGGUAAGCUGAAAGUUGGAAAUGUCAUCAUUGAAGAUAU